rnacentral:rRNA from 1 species
UGGGGAAUUUUGGACAAUGGGCGCAAGCCUGAUCCAGCCAUGCCGCGUGCAGGAUGAAGGCCUUCGGGUUGUAAACUGCUUUUGUACGGAACGAAAAGACUCCUUCUAAUAAAGGGGGUCCAUGACGGUACCGUAAGAAUAAGCACCGGCUAACUACGUGCCAGCAGCCGCGGUAAUACGUAGGGUGCGAGCGUUAAUCGGAAUUAUUGGGCGUAAAGCGUGCGCAGGCGGUUAUAUAAGACGGAUGUGAAAUCCCCGGGCUCAACCUGGGAACUGCAUUCGUGACUGUAUAGCUAGAGUUCGGCAGAGGGGGAUGGAAUUCCGCGUGUAGCGGUGAAAUGCGUAGAUAUGCGGAGGAACACCGGUGGCGAAGGCGGUCCCCUGGGCCUGUACUGACGAUCAUGCACGAGAGCGUGGGGAGCAAACA